GAGCCAUAACAGGAACUCUGGUUAAGAGGAAACUGAGGAGCAGAGAAGGGAGGAAACACGGUUGAGUGCGGGUACUAGCUUAAGGCUGUGUGGGCUGACUGUUCUCUUUGGUCCCCAGGCUGGGCUACAGGACUAAGAAGGAGUUCAGCAAUCAAGGGGGAGCAGAAGUGAAUGCAGACACCACCCACAUGCCUGCCUUCUGGUCUAGGCACCAUCACCUGUCCCCGUCCUGCUGGAGACUUCCUGGAACUCAGGUCCUACCCUUUGUUAUUUUUCUUAGCUUCCCCAUCACAACUCUGAUCUUUUCCCUGGGGUCCUGUCCACACUCCCCUUUUCACCGUCCAGACCCCUCCCUGGCUAAGUCUCCAGCCCUUCCUCCGUCUAAAGCCCCAGUCCCCAGCACUGGCCUCUCACCCGUCGGGCGCGCCCCCUGGUGGCGGUGAGGGCGGUGGCGGCGCGCGCAGCAGCAGCGGCCCGAAGGUGGCACUCAGAGCUCGCACCGCGGGGCCCGGGGCGGGGGCGCGUCGGGCCACCCGGCCCAGGUGCUGGAGCAGGAAGCGCAGCGUGAGCGCACGGUGCAGCGGCAGUGUCGGGGGCUCCAGCGCCGGCCCCACGGGCCCUGCGGCCUCUGCGGAAGAUGGCCAGGGCAGGGUGAGCCGAGGCCAGUGCCCGCUCCAGUGCCCUCCCCAGUCUGGGCUUCCUGCCAGGCUCACCCCGGAGGGCCCGGUGUGCUUCGGCCGCGGCCUCGGGUGUCACGAGGGGAGCGGGUAGCGCCAGCAGGAAGCCCUUCACGCCAUCUGACAGGGCUGCAGCAUCCCACUGCUCCACAUCGCUCAGGGACCAGUCUGCGGGUGCAAGGGGGAUACAUGGGUCCAAGGCACAUCGUCUAGGGUAGGUUCCUCUCCCUCUCUUACCCACUGAAGCUUCCCCUCACCUGUGCGGGCGGCGGGUGGCUCAGGCCUGUAGCUGUCUAGCCCUGGGAGGAAAGGGGAUGGGGUGGGUAGGUCAGCUUCACCCCAUGUGGCAAGACCAGCUCUCAAAUGCUGCCCCAACCCCAUGUGGGGUCUGGGGUGGCUCCUCAACCUCCCAGAGAUAAAAGCAGGAGGGGAGGAAGAUGGUGGCAGAGGACACAGCGCAUGCAGUGAUGGGUCCAGUGUCCACAUUCCCCUGGAAGUUACUCCUUCUACAAUUUAACAUGGAGCCCCAGAGCAUCCCGACUCAGCAUCUUCCAUACAGGGCCCAGCAGCCCUGUGAAGGGGAUGAGGUGCCCAUCACCAGAGGUAAGCAAACAGAAUCCAGGGAUUGUGGCCAGACUGAGGCUCACCUGUCCGCUCAAUGGCCUCCACGAGCUUCACCAGGAUAGGGGGAGCCACAUCAGGUGGGGAGAACUGCUCGGGUAGGUCAGGGAGUGUAAGGCCUGGCAGGAGGGGAAAGAAUGUUGGCAGGGGCCCUAGCAGGACCCCAGCCCCUUUCAUUGCUUGCUGCACUUCAGCUUGGGCGGCUUCAGGCAAGAUCCAGCUCAGGCAAGUGCCUGGCAUCUGAACCACUGUCCUCGGGAAGACAGAAGGUCCUGCUGGUGGGCCCGGGAGGGCUGAGUUGGUGGGAAGAAAAUUUCUGGGUUAAAAUAUCAGUUCACACAAGUUCAGAGACCAGAUGUAGUCAGUUGAUUAGUGUCUCUCCCCUCCCCCCAAAUGCUAUGUCUACUUCCUAAUCCCUGGUACCUGUGACUGUGACCUAAGUUGGAAAUAGGGUUUUUGCAGAUGUAAUUAAAUUAAGGUAAGGAUUUCGAGAUGAGAUCAUCUGGGAUUUAGGGCCCUAAAUCCAACGACUGGUGUCUUCUUAAGAGAAGGCCAUAUGAAGACAAAAGCAGAGACGGGGGUGAUGUGGCCACAAGCCAAGGUAUGCCUGGAGCCCCCAGAAGCUGGAAGAAGAAAGAAAAGAUCUUCCCCGAAAGCCUCCAGAGGGAGGGCAGCUCUGUCCACACCUUGAUUUUGGACUUCUGGCCUCCAGAACCGUGAGAGAAUAAACUAUGGUUUGAAGCUA